CUUGAGCUGGGCAAUCCUCAUAGAAGGUCGGGGACGACCUGCCCUUCAGUGUUCCUGGAGCAUCUUCUCCAAAGUGGAGGUCGAGCCAGGCCUAGGAGGAAAGAGAGGGCAACUGCGGACGACCCCACCGCAGAAGAGGUGAAACCGACGGGCUCCAGGGCUUUUUCACUCAUUCCCUAGGCAUGUGGGACCUCGAAGAUGCCGAAUCAGCUAAACGGGAGGUGGCUUGAGUAGGAUUUGCUGCCAGCUAAAGCGUGAGAUGCUAUUGCAUGUGCAAGGCAAGGCUUUCUUCAGCGGCAUCAUCUUCCAAAAUAGCCCAGUGAGCAUGCCUUUCUCCUGAAAAAUAAAAAAUAGUUGGUGUUUACUGCAAUCGUAUGGCAAAUACUGUGUUGAGAGAUUAAUUUAC
rnacentral:lncRNA from 1 species